CAAGUCGAACGGAGUCAAGAGGAGCUUGCUUUCUUGACUUAGUGGCAACGGGUGAGUAACGCGUGAGUAACCUGCCCUGGAGUGGGGGACAACAGUUGGAAACGACUGCUAAUACCGCAUAAGCCCACGGAUCCGCAUGGAUCUGCGGGAAAAGGAUUUAUUCGGCUUCAGGAUGGACUCGCGUCCAAUUAGCUAGUUGGUGGGGUAACGGCCUACCAAGUCGACGAUCAGUAGCCGGACUGAGAGGUUGAACGGCCACAUUGGGACUGAGAUACGGCCCAGACUCCUACGGGAGGCAGCAGUGGGGAAUAUUGCACAAUGGGGGAAACCCUGAUGCAGCAACGCCGCGUGAAGGAUGACGGUUUUCGGAUUGUAAACUUCUUUUCUUAGUGACGAAGACAGUGACGGUAGCUAAGGAAUAAGCAUCGGCUAACUACGUG
rnacentral:rRNA from 1 species